UACGAGGGGGGCGAGCGUUGUUCGGAAUCACUGGGCGUAAAGAGUGCGUAGGCGGUUAUGAAAGUUAGGAGUGAAAGCCCCAGGCUCAACUUGGGAAUUGCUCUUAAAACUACAUAACUCGAAUUCGGGAGAGGAUAGCGGAAUUCUCAGUGUAGCAGUGAAAUGCGUAGAUAUUGAGAGGAACACCGGUGGCGUAAGCGGCUAUCUGGACCGACAUUGACGCUGAGGCACGAAAGCGUGGGGAUCAAACAGG
rnacentral:rRNA from 1 species